rnacentral:lncRNA from 1 species
CGUGGUGUCCAGGCUAGCUUGCGCGCACCUCGACUAAAUCCACGGGAUACCUGCCACCUCCCUCCAGCAACAGGUACCAGAUAACUCCGUCCACCAAGGCCAGAACAGCUGGGAAGAAUUCACCCUCUGCUGAGAAUUGAACCUGAGACCUCAUGGUACUCAUCCCUACUUCAUUGAUCAACUAGGCCACACCCUUGGGUGCUUGCCAAUAGGACAUUUG